rnacentral:rRNA from 1 species
AGAGUUUGAUCCUGGCUCAGAACGAACGCUGGCGGCAGGCUUAACACAUGCAAGUCGAACGCACCUUCGGGUGAGUGGCAGACGGGUGAGUAACGCGUGGGAACGUGCCCUUCAGUUCGGAAUAACCCAGGGAAACUUGGGCUAAUACCGGAUACGUGCGAGAGCAGAAAGAUUUAUCGCUGAAGGAUCGGCCCGCGUCUGAUUAGCUAGUUGGUGGGGUAAUGGCCCACCAAGGCGACGAUCAGUAGCUGGUCUGAGAGGAUGAUCAGCCACAUUGGGACUGAGACACGGCCCAAACUCCUACGGGAGGCAGCAGUGGGGAAUAUUGGACAAUGGGCGCAAGCCUGAUCCAGCCAUGCCGCGUGAGUGAUGAAGGCCUUAGGGUUGUAAAGCUCUUUCGGCGGGGACGAUAAUGACGGUACCCGCAGAAGAAGCCCCGGCUAACUUCGUGCCAGCAGCCGCGGUAAUACGAAGGGGGCUAGCGUUGUUCGGAAUCACUGGGCGUAAAGGGCGCGUAGGCGGCUUGAUAAGUCGGGGGUGAAAGCCUGUGGCUCAACCACAGGAUUGCCUUCGAUACUGUCUGGCUUGAGACCGGAAGAGGUAAGUGGAACUGCGAGUGUAGAGGUGAAAUUCGUAGAUAUUCGCAAGAACACCAGUGGCGAAGGCGGCUUACUGGUCCGGUUCUGACGCUGAGGCGCGAAAGCGUGGGGAGCAAACAGGAUUAGAUACCCUAGUAGUCC